rnacentral:rRNA from 1 species
CCUACGGGCGGCAGCAGUGAGGAAUAUUGGUCAAUGGACGCGAGUCUGAACCAGCCAAGUAGCGUGAAGGAUGACUGCCCUACGGGUUGUAAACUUCUUUUAUACAGGAAUAAAGUGAUACACGUGUGCCAAUUUGUAUGUACUUUAUGACUAAGGAUCGGCUAACUCCGUGCCAGCAGCCGCGGUAAUACGGAGGAUCCGAGCGUUAUCCGGAUUUAUUGGGUUUAAAGGGAGCGUAGGUGGGUUGUUAAGUCAGUUGUGAAAGUUUGCGGCUCAACCGUAAAAUUGCAAUUGAUACUGGCAGUCUUGAGUACAGGUGAGGUAGGCGGAAUUCGUGGUGUAGCGGUGAAAUGCUUAGAUAUCACGAAGAACUCCGAUUGCGAAGGCAGCUUACUAAACUGCAACUGACAUUGAUGCUCGAAAGUGUGGGUAUCAAACAGGAUUAGAUACCCGAGUAGUC